UUGGUGAGGCGCACACUCGCACGCCCACCAAAGGUACGAAACUUUGGCAAUGAAACGGCAACACAUGGGUCUCUUCGACUACUAGAGCUGGCGAAAGCCGAAGGUACGCACUGCCUGAGAGAAAGAGCGUGGAGAGAGUGAGCGCACGAGAGAAACAAUAACAAAAAUGGUCUGAAACAUGCUCAUCAACAUGCGCGAUGCGGGGCAACAUGUGCCGCAACAUUAUUAGCCUUUGUGUUUGUUGGAAUUGUGUGUGAGCAUGUUGCUAAAUAUAUUUGGUUUGCUUCGAAGGGAGAUGAAGAUUUUCGGGAAACGUGCUUCUCUCGGCUGCGUAGCAGCAUGUUGCCCAACAUGUAGCUUGCAUAGCAUGUGUGGCUGCACUCAGUGCCGUUGUACUUUAGAAAUGAAAUGAAACUCCGGCUGAGUUGUUGUUACGUCGUCGAGAGAGUCGCGUGUUCAUGUGUCGCGUUCGCGUUCGCGUUCUGAUAUGUCCGUUGUUGCCACGGGCUUUGUCUGGUCGCAAUGCAUCAGCAGCAGCAGCAGCAGUUCUGACUGACUGACUGACAACAGAUAAACAAAUCGGCAAGCCGCGAAGUGUGUCUGAAAGUGCGUGUCGUUCAUUUAAACGUGUCCUGCCGCCGUUACGGCUAAUUACGUUAACAGGAGCAAACAACAACAAUAAAAAA